UAUUUUAGCUGAUAGCAAAAUGGACGAGAAAGUAUCUAAUGAGGACAUCAAAUUAGAACAGAAACAGACUCUAUCCUGGUCAGACAAGCUAAAACCAGCCAAUCCUAUAGGAUUCGCUAUCUCCUCCGCCGUCUCUAUUACUGCUGUACUCGUAUUCUUCUUUGCUAUUCCUUGUCCUGAGGAUAACUAAACUCCAUUAAUUAACUCAAGUAAUUCUAAUCAAAAGUUAUAAUUAACUUAACCAAUCAGAUCAGAAAAUGUUAAAACUAAAACAAUUCUAAUCAGACAACUUUUUUUUGCGGAGAAUAUGAAAAACUCAAAAACUGAUUUUAUUAGAAUUACUCUAUCAGAACUUAGCAUAAUUGAAAUGUGAAUGUUUGUCUAUUUUUACACACAUUACUUUAAAAUA